rnacentral:rRNA from 1 species
CAGUCGCCGCGGUAGUACGUAGGUGGCAAGCGUUGACCGGAAUUAUUGGGCGUAAAGGGCUCGCAGGCGGUUUCUUAAGUCUGAUGUGAAAGCCCCCGGCUCAACCGGGGAGGGUCAUUGGAAGCUGGGAAACUUGAGUGCAGAAGAGGAGAGUGGAAUUCCACGUGUAGCGGUGAAAUGCGUAGAGAUGUGGAGGAACACCAGUGGCGAAGGCGACUCUCUGGUCUGUAACUGACGCUGAGGAGCGAAAGCGUGGGGAGCGAACAGGAUUAGAUACCCGAGUAGUCCUGUCUCUUAUACA